rnacentral:lncRNA from 1 species
GUUUGGAGCUGAGCAACAACCAAAACAAGUGAACAAAAGAAAGUAGAAUGAAGAAGACUUCCUUGUGUGUGGAAUCAUCAGAUGCUGCUGGAGUUGGUACCCUUUGUCCCCCACUAGGUAUGGCUUGAUCCUAUCAUCAUAUGCUAACACCACGGGUGAUGUCAGCAGCUCCCUUGCUACAAUCUUGUUCCUGAGGGUUGAAUUACGAAAAACCCUCAUGUCGUGGACACGUCCUG